rnacentral:rRNA from 1 species
ACUCAAAGGAAUUGACGGGGACCCGCACAAGCGGUGGAGUAUGUGGCUUAAUUCGAUGCAACGCGAAGAACCUUACCAAGGCUUGACAUGCAUCUCUAAGCGCGUGAAAGCGCGUGACCCGCAAGGGGAUUUGCACAGGUGCUGCAUGGCCGUCGUCAGCUCGUGUCGUGAGAUGUUGGGUUAAGUCCCGCAACGAGCGCAACCCCUGUGACUAGUUGCCAGCAUGUGAUGAUGGGGACUCUAGUCAGACUGCCCAGAUCAACUGGGAGGAAGGUGGGGACGACGUCAGGUCAGUAUGGCCCUUACGCCUUGGGCUGCACACGUACUACAAUGCCCGGUACAAUGAGAGCCGAUGCCGCGAGGCGGAGGAAAUCUAUGAAAACCGGGCCCAGUUCGGAUUGGAGGCUGCAACUCGCCUCCAUGAAGUUGGAAUCGCUAGUAAUGGCGCAUCAUCUACGGCGCCGUGAAUACGUUCCCGGGUCUUGUACACACCGCCCGU